GCUGUGAUGGCCGAGUGGUUAAGGCGAUGGAUUUGAAAUCCAACGGGGUUUCCCCACGCAGGUUCCACUCCUGCUCACAGCG